CACCAGGUUGAUUCUGCCUGACGUAGACGCUAUUCCCUAAGAUUAACCCAUGCAUGUUUUUGACAUUUGAAAAAUGGACUGCUCAGUAAUACUCACUUUAUUUUAUGUAAAUUUUUGAUUAAUUAACUACGUUAAAGUGUAGAUAAGAUGUUUACAGUAAGAGCGAGACCUAUCAGCUAGUUGUUAAGGUAAUGGCUUAACAAGGCUGUGACGGGUAACGGUAUUACUUUGUAAUAUUCCGGAGAAGGAGCCUGAGAGACGGCUACUAAGUCUAAGGAUUGCAGCAGGGGCGAAACUUGACCUAUGGAUUUUAUCUGAGGCAGUUAUGGGAAGUAAUAUUAUAUUGUUUCAUAUUUUAAAAGUAUAUGAGGUGAUUAAUUGGAGGGCAAAUCAAGUGCCAGCAGCCGCGGUAAUACUUGUUCCAAGAGUGUGUAUGAUGAUUGAUGCAGUUAAAAAGUCCGUAGUUUAUUUUUUAAGAAGCAAUAUGAGGUGUACUGUAUAGUUGGGAGAAAGAUGAAAUGUGACGACCCUGACUGGACGAACAGAAGCGAAAGCU
rnacentral:rRNA from 1 species